rnacentral:rRNA from 1 species
AGUGGGUGUAAUGUACCUACUAGCCGACGACGGAUACGGGUUGUGGGAGCAAGAGCCCGGAGAUGGAUUCUGAGACAUGAAUCCAGGCCCUACGGGGCGCAGCAGGCGCGAAAACUUUACAAUGCGGGAAACCGCGAUAAGGGGACACCGAGUGUCAGCAUCUUAUGUUGGCUGUCCGCAUGUAUAAAUCACAUGUGUUAGCAAGGGCCGGGCAAGACCGGUGCCAGCCGCCGCGGUAACACCGGCGGCCCGAGUGGUGGCCACUAUUAUUGGGUCUAAAGGGUCCGUAGCCGGUUUGGUCAGUCUUCCGGGAAAUCUGACGGCUUAACCGUUAGGCUUUCGGGGGAUACUACCAGGCUUGGGACCGGGAGAGGUAAGAGGUACUACGGGGGUAGGAGUGAAAUCUUGUAAUCCUCGUGGGACCACCAGUGGCGAAGGCGUCUUACCAGAACGGGUCCGACGGUGAGGGACGAAAGCUGGGGGCACGAACCGGAUUAGAU